UCCUGGUGUUCAUAGCGAAGAGGCCACGCCUGAUCCCAUCCCGAACUCAGAAGCUAAGCUCUUUUGCGCCGAUGGUACUGUAGCGUUCGCUACGGGAGAGUAGGACGAUGCCAGGA
rnacentral:rRNA from 1 species